GUUGAUUUGUUUGUGGACGGUGUUCAGCACCAAGUCUAGGUGUGUUAAUCUAUGUGUGAAUUGUGGUCAGCACCAAGGACAGGUGUUUUUACAU
rnacentral:pre_miRNA from 1 species